rfam:Pseudoxanthomonas dokdonensis strain DSM 21858 contig_4, whole genome shotgun sequence.
CGAAGUACGUAUGCUCCCCUCCCCUUACGACUUCGGACUGGCGGGCUUU